rnacentral:rRNA from 1 species
AACGAACGCUGGCGGCAGGCUUAACACAUGCAAGUCGAGCGCCCCGCAAGAGGAGCGGCAGACGGGUGAGUAACGCGUGGGAAUCUACCCAUCCCUACGGAACAACUCCGGGAAACUGGAGCUAAUACCGUAUACGUCCUUCGGGAGAAAGAUUUAUCGGGGAUGGAUGAGCCCGCGUUGGAUUAGCUAGUUGGUGGGGUAAUGGCCUACCAAGGCGACGAUCCAUAGCUGGUCUGAGAGGAUGAUCAGCCACACUGGGACUGAGACACGGCCCAGACUCCUACGGGAGGCAGCAGUGGGGAAUAUUGGACAAUGGGCGCAAGCCUGAUCCAGCCAUGCCGCGUGAGUGAUGACGGCCCUAGGGUUGUAAAGCUCUUUCGCAGGUGAAGAUAAUGACGGUAACCUGAGAAGAAGCCCCGGCUAACUUCGUGCCAGCAGCCGCGGUAACAC